GUGAAUCAUCGAAUUUUUGAACGCAAAUUGCACUCUCCUCGGAGAGUAUGCCUGUUUGAGGGUCAGCCUAUAAAAAUCGACAUCGCUGCUGUCUCGCGGUGGCGUUCGUCGGAACCUGGGCCAUGUUAAAUCUUUUUGAUUUAAGCGAUUUAAAAUUUUGUUUUGGUUCCAUGAACGUUCCUAUG
rnacentral:misc_RNA from 1 species